rnacentral:piRNA from 1 species
UGACAUUCUACAGAUGGCUGCAUGUAAGC